UACGAAGGGGGCUAGCGUUGCUCGGAAUCACUGGGCGUAAAGGGCGCGUAGGCGGCGUUUUUAAGUCGGGGGUGAAAGCCUGUGGCUCAACCACAGAAUGGCCUUCGAUACUGGGACGCUUGAGUAUGGUAGAGGUUGGUGGAACUGCGAGUGUAGAGGUGAAAUUCGUAGAUAUUCGCAAGAACACCAGUGGCGAAGGCGGCUCACUGGCCCGAUACUGACGCUGAGGCACGAAAGCGUGGGGAGCAAACAGGG
rnacentral:rRNA from 1 species